ACGCUUGACACCUACGGUAGGCAGCAGUGGGGAAUAUUGCACAAUGGGGGAAACCCUGAUGCAGCAACGCCGCGUGAAGGAAGACGGUUUUCGGAUUGUAAACUUCUGUUCUUAGUGAAGAUAGUGACGGUAGCUAAGGAGCAAGCCACGACUAACUACGUGCCAGCAGCCGCGGUAAUCUGAGCGGGCUGGCAAGGC
rnacentral:rRNA from 1 species